AUUUCUGACUGAGGUACACUUCGAAUUUACUUUAUUUGGCCUUCUGCUGUUUUAUGUGCCAGAAUCUUCCGCGGAUACAGAAUAACUGGUUUAGCAUUUGGGGAUCUGACCACAAGAUGGCAGAGCUUCUCUGCUCAUGUAGACCGUAUGAAAGGAUCCUUUCAGUUGACUUCUGUGAGUAGGCUAACGAUAGAAGCAGAUGGCAUCUGUGGACAGUUUAAGAAACCACAGUGCUUUGGAGGAAAGGAAGAGAUACUCGAUAAUAGAAGUCGUUUUCUUGGCUUGCAGGUCCCAGCGGGGAGAACAAUGAAGACACUUACUGGAUCUUCGUUUCUGUUUCUGUGGCUGCAGCUAGACUGUAUGAGUAGCGGACAGGACAUGAAACAGAGUCUUUUCCUGAGUGUCCGAGAGGGAGACAGCGUUGUUAUAAACUGCACUUACACAGACAGUUCCUCCAGCUACUUAUAUUGGUAUAAGCAAGAUCCUGGAGCAAGUCUCCAGCUGCUGGCAUAUAUUCUUUCAAAUACGGACACGAAACAAGACCAAAGACUCACUGUUCAAUUGGAUAAGAAGAAUAAACAUCUCUCUCUGCAAAUUGCAGAAACACAGACUGGGGACUCAGCUAUCUACUCCUGUGCAGAGAGUACACAUUGCUUCUCAGGCACCUGUAUCUUGUACCCAAACCUGUGCCUGGGGCCGAAGCCACACUCUGUUUCCUUUGGCACUAACCUUUAA